AAACCUCAACUCAAUCAAAUCUUUUCUUUCCCUGUAUACCAAAUUCUCUAAGAAACCCUACUGACAUUCGUCUCUUAUUUCAUCAUCCACUUUUGAAAUAAUCCUAUGAUGUCUACCUCAUCAUCUCAUUCUUCUCACGACGAUACCUCAUCACUUGAUCAACAUUCUGGAAAGGCUCCAGUCUCACCCACGAGUCAAGAAGUUGAUCUUCACUCUUAUGCCGCCGACCUUCUCCCAUCUGGAUUCAGAUACCAUGAGGAUUUCAGCAUCGUCGACUACUACCAAUUUGUCAAAGAAAUUGACGCUUUCAUCACCGCCGAUACUCUUCCCACAGUCUGUGAAGAUUGAAACUUCACCCCAGACACCAAUAUCGGCGUCGUUAACUCCGAUAUCAUGAUGAACCAUUAUGUCAAUGGUUUCUCUAUGCUCUAUACCUAUCCUUUUACGAUUGGUUUCGGAUUCCCAAUUCCUCAGAUUAUUGAGGAUUUCUGCCAUCGAUACUAGGUUUGUAUCGGCCAAAUCACUCCCCAAGUCUAGCGUUUAAUUUAUUGCAUUCCAAUUUUGGCCGACCAAGCUGGAGUCACUUUUUCUCUUGAUCACCUGAUGCAUUUGUAUUCUUCAUGUAUUUUUCGAGGAGGAUUAAUUCACUUACUUCCUCAUGGGAAGCGUAGUCUGAUCAACCCAGAAGAUGAUUUUGACCGGAGGUGACUUCACAGAUUUGUGAUGAUCCGAACCGAUCAUCUUCACCGUUCUAAUCCCGAGCCAUACCCCGAGGCAUGGAAUAAUACUCAUGAGUAUCAACUAAGAUUUUUUUUAAUAAUAUAAUCGCUCCUCCUAUUCCAUUUGUGUCCCUUUCUCCAUUUUCAUUAUCUUUUCAGUCGUUCUUGUUGAGCUGGAGCUUUUGGUCGGAAUAUUCGAAUGGGUUGUUGCUUUACCGCGUGCUUCCUCCAAUGUGACACGUUCUUGGAAAAGCAUGACCUCCGAUUGGUGGAGAGGAAAGAGACACGAUGAGCAGAGUUUUACCUACGACACACAACUCUAUGCCCUUUUUCUCUCAUCUUUACUUAUCUUCUUUUUGCAGGACUUCCAGUAAGAAAGCCUUCUGCCCAGACAAUCCAUACCUGGAAAAUUACUUUGUUGAACAUAGUCAAUGCCGCUUCUUCCAAUCAUAAGCGCAAACCAAAAGACACAUCCACCUCUCCUCCGACCGGAAUUGGUUCUAGAGUGCAGACCCGUCGUAGGCUUAUGAAAGCAUAGGGCAAAUCUCAAUGUGUUGCCCAACACGGGGUGGUAAAUAUUUAUGAUGAUGAUGAGCAACAGCAAGACGGUGGUCCCAGGGAUUUACUGCCAGUUGGUUCCAGCAAAGCCUCUGGAAAACUAAGAUUUCUCCAAUUAGAAUUCACUUGGGUAACCCUACUGUCCCCUUUUUAUGAACCAUCGCAAAGGAGUGUCGUUUUACUGGUUGAAGCUGAAACUUCAGGUUGGUCCCCUCGCCCCAAACCUCCGGUUACCAGCUUGGAGUCUUCACUCGUUCACUUGGCCAACUUAUUUCUUCAGGGACACGUGGAUGCUAGCUCUCAUGCGGAUCCUAAAAGAACCAUUGUCCUUUCUUGUAAAGAAGAAAAACUCCAAGAAUAUAAUGACCGUCUGAGGGCUGAAGUUGACAGGCUUCAAGCUGAAGUUAGAGACUCUGAUUCUCUCCAAUCCUCUCUGCAGAUGUGUCUAGAAGACGUGACCAUUUCCCUAAGGGACUUGGAAUAUUCCCUUCAGCUUUUAACUUCAUCCUAUGUCGAUUUUCAAAACAAAGCAUCAAGGUUGGAAGGUGAUCUGAACAACGCUCACGACCAACUCGCCAGUAUUGAAGUUUCAUGGGAUCGUCUCUGAGCCCGGUGUCAGAAGUUGCGACUCCGUCGUGAUUUAGCCAUCUUGAAAACUAGGAGGGACACAUUUGAGGAGGAAAUUGCCGAGGGCUUUGAUCUUCUCACAUCAUUUCUUGAGGCGGAGAUUGACUUAAAGGCUGCUGAACUGGGCCUUGAGUAUAUCCGGGGUCCCAAGGGGAAUGGACAUGGAAGUGAAGAUUUUGGAUCCUCUCUUGCUUUUGGAGCUAAUCCAUGCAUCUAGCCCCCGUACUUUCUCUUUAGCUUUUAUAACAGGAUUGCUAUUUUAAGCUCCUCCCUUUUUUAUUUGGAUGAUAACUUACUUUUAUAAUAAUUUAUCAUAUUUUUUGGACUUUAAACCUGGGUGGAACAUGGAACUGGGCAUGCUAGUCCCUUUCGCGA